UACGGAGGGUGCAAGCGUUAUCCGGAUUUACUGGGUUUAAAGGGUGUGUAGGCGGGCUUUUAAGUCAGUGGUGAAAUCUCUGGGCUCAACCUGGAAACUGCCAUUGAUACUAUUAGUCUUGAAUAUUGUGGAGGAAGGCGGAAUGUGUCAUGUAGCGGUGAAAUGCAUAGAUAUGACACAGAACACCGAUUGCGAAGGCAGCCUUCUACGCAAUUAUUGACGCUGAGGCACGAAAGCGUGGGGAUCAAACAGG
rnacentral:rRNA from 1 species